rnacentral:rRNA from 1 species
ACUUACGUUGAAAAGUGAGCGGAUGAACUGAGGGUAGCGGAGAAAUUCCAAUCGAACUUGGAGAUAGCUGGUUCUCUCCGAAAUAGCUUUAGGGCUAGCCUCAAGUGAUGAUUAUUGGAGGUAGAGCACUGUUUGGACGAGGGGCCCCUCUCGGGUUACCGAAUUCAGACAAACUCCGAAUGCCAAAUAAUUUAACUUGGGAGUCAGAAUGUGGGUGAUAAGGUCCAUAUUCGAAAGGGAAACAGCCCAGACCACCAGCUAAGGUCCCAAAAUAUAUGUUAAGUGGAAAAGGAUGUGGCGUUGCCCAGACAACUAGGAUGUUGGCUUAGAAGCAGCCAUCAUUUAAAGAGUGCGUAAUAGCUCACUAGUCGAGUGACACUGCGCCGAAAAUGUACCGGGGCUAAACAUAUUACCGAAGCUGUGGAUUGUCCUUUGGACAAUGGUAGGAGAGCGUUCUAAGGGCGUUGAAGCAUGAUCGCAAGGACAUGUGGAGCGCUUAGAAGUGAGAAUGCCGGUGUGAGUAGCGAAAGACGGGUGAGAAUCCCGUCCACCGAUUGACUAAGGUUUCCAGAGGAAGGCUCGUCCGCUCUGGGUUAGUCGGGUCCUAAGCUGAGGCCGACAGGCGUAGGCGAUGGAUAACAGGUUGAUAUUCCUGUACCACCAUUAUUCGUUUUAAGCGA